ACAGACUGUUUAUUUAACAUGGAGCACCUUGGAUGAGCACUUGUGCACUAUCCUCAGGUAGUUCGAAAGAAGAAGAAAAUAAGUGAUUUGAAGGAUUUUGAUGGGUUUUAUAGGAUGAAAAAGUGUAUGCUGACAUGGCAACGGUUACAAAAGAUCUGACGGCUAAGUACUCUCCACGUGACAACCUCUGAUGAAUAAUGGAUGACAGUUGUUAGGAAACCACUGAUGGAACAAUAUCAGUGGUUUACAGUGGUGAAUAUGAAAAACAGUGGCUGACUAUAACUAUCAGUGGAUAGCCUUAUCAGUGGAUUAAAACACUGAUGUUUGACAACAGUUUUUUAACAAAGAUAAUGAAGGAACAGAGGUUGACUUUCAGCAGUGGAAAACAUUCAGCAGAACAGAUGUUUGAACCAAACAGUGGUUAUGGCAGACUUUUAAGGAUUAAUGAAAAUUUUCAUUUUUAGCUAUUU
rnacentral:lncRNA from 1 species